UACGUAGGGCGCGAGCGUUGUCCGGAAUUACUGGGCGUAAAGCGUGCGCAGGCGGUCCGUUAAGACAGAUGUGAAAUCCCCGGGCUUAACUUGGGAACUGCAUUUGGGACUGCAAGGCUGGAGUACGGCAGAGGGAGGUGGAAUUCCACGUGUAGCAGUGAAAUGCGUAGAGAUGUGGAGGAACACCGGAUGGCGAAGGCAGCCUCCUGGGCUAGUACUGACGCUCAUGCGAAAGCGUGGG
rnacentral:rRNA from 1 species